GUUGUAUAGUCAAGUAAUUAAGUGCAUGUGGUGGAUGCCUUGGCAGUCAGAGGCGAUGAAAGACGUGAUAGCCUGCGAAAAGCUCCGGGGAGGCGGCAAAUAUCCUUUGAUCCGGAGAUGUCUGAAUGGGGGAACCCACCUACUUUAAGGUAGGUAUUGCAACAUGAAUACAUAGUGUUGCAAGGCGAACGAGGGGAAGUGAAACAUCUCAGUACCCUUAGGAAAAGAAAUCAAUUGAGAUUCCCUCAGUAGCGGCGAGCGAACGGGGAUCAGCCCAUUAAGUUAUGUGUGUUUUAGUGGAACGCUCUGGGAAGUGCGAACGUAGAGGGUGAUAUUCCCGUACACGAAAGGGCACACAUAAUGAUGACGAGUAGGGCGAGGCACGUGAAACCUUGUCUGAAUAUGGGGGGACCAUCCUCCAAGGCUAAAUACUCCUGACUGACCGAUAGUGAACCAGUACCGUGAGGGAAAGGCGAAAAGAACCCCUGUGAGGGGAGUGAAAUAGAUCCUGAAACCGCAUGCAUACAAGCAGUGGGAGCACCUUCGUGGUGUGACUGCGUACCUUUUGUAUAAUGGGUCAGCGACUUAUAUUCAGUAGCGAGGUUAACCGUAUAGGGGAGCCGUAGAGAAAUCGAGUCUUAAUAGGGCGUUUAGUUGCUGGGUAUAGACCCGAAACCAGGCGAUCUAUCCAUGAGCAGGUUGAAGGUUGGGUAACAC
rnacentral:rRNA from 1 species